rnacentral:rRNA from 1 species
UAAUACAGAGGGUGCGAGCGUUGUUCGGAAUUACUGGGCGUAAAGCGCGCGCAGGCGGCCUUUUAAGUCUGACGGUGAAAUGCCGGGGCUCAACCCCGUGCCCGCCGCGGAUACUGGGAGGCUGGAGACACGUAGAGGCAAGCGGAAUUCCGGGUGUAGCGGUGGAAUGCGUAGAGAUCCGGAAGAACACCGGAGGCGAAGGCGGCUUGCUGGGCGUAGUCUGACGCUGAGGCGCGAAAGCGUGGGGAGCGAACAGGAUUAGAUACCCUGGUAGUCCACGCCGUAAACGAUGGGCACUAGACGCUGGGGGGAUCGACCCCUUCGGUGUCGCAGCUAACGCGAUAAGUGCCCCGCCUGGGGAGUACGGCCGCAAGGCUG